rnacentral:rRNA from 1 species
CUGUGCCUAACCAGGCAAAAUGAAUUUUAGUUUGAACCCCCGAAACUAAGUGAGCUACUUCGAAAUGUUUUAUGAACAAACCCGUCUCUGUCGCAAUAGAGUGGGACAAUUUCCAAGUAGCGGCAACAAACCUACCGCGCUUAAAGAUAGCUGGUUACUCAAGAACAGAAUAUAAGUUCAACCUUAAGCUUCCCAAUUACAUAAGAAGACCAAAAAACUUAAGAGCUAUUCAAAUAAGGCACAGCUUAUUUGAAGCAGGCUUCAACCUCUACGACCGGGUAAAACAUAAGAACAAAUAACAAGUGGGCCUAAAAGCAGCCACCUUCUAAAAAGCGUUAAAGCUUAAUUUUCUUCUAUUUUAAUACCUUUAUUCACCUUCAACCCACCCCCAGUAUUGAGUAACUCCAUAUCCCUAUGGAAAAUAUUAUGCUAGAACUAGUAACAAGAAAACCUUCUCCAAAAUGUAAGCCUAAGCCACAAUAGACAACCCUACCGGCAGUUAACGUAAAUGAUUAUUUUAUAGUACCUCAAACAAGAACACCCUAUAAAUUUUAACGUUAACCUUACACUAGCACAUUAACGGAAAGAUUAAAAGAAAAAGAAGGAACUCGGCAAAACUUUACCCCGCCUGUUUACCAAAAACAUCGCCUCUUGACCAAAUAUAAGAGGUCCAGCCUGCCCAGUGACCCGAUUUAACGGCCGCAGUACCCUAACCGCGCAAAGGUAGCAUAAUCACUUGUCCCUUAAAUAUGGACCAGUAUCAACGGCAUCACGAGGGUUCCACUGUCUCCUUUUUCUAAUCAGUGAAACUGAUCUCCCGUGAAGAAGCGGGGAUAACCUAUAAGACGAGAAGAUACCCUUUUAUCUGCGGAACACUACAUGCUCGGUUUUAGGUUGGGGCAACCGCGGAGCAUAAAAAAACCUCCAUGAUGCACGAGCCUACCCUCUUACCUAAGAAGUACACUUCUAGGAAUUAGCACACUAACAUACUACGAUCCAGUAACUGAUCAACGAACCAAGUUACCCUGGGGAUAACAGCGCAAUCCAUUUCAAGAGCUCCUAUCGACAAAUGGGUUUACGACCUCGAUGUUGGAUCAGGGUAUCCUAGUGGUGAACAG